rnacentral:rRNA from 1 species
GCUCAGAUUGAACGCUGGCGGCAUGCUUUACACAUGCAAGUCGAACGGCAGCGGGGGCUUCGGCCUGCCGGCGAGUGGCGAACGGGUGAGUAACGCAUCGGAACGUGCCCAUGUCGUGGGGGAUAACGUAUCGAAAGCUACGCUAAUACCGCAUACGCCCUGAGGGAGAAAGCGGGGGAUUCUUCGGAACCUCGCGCGAUUGGAGCGGCCGAUGUCGGAUUAGCUAGUAGGUGAGGUAAAGGCUCACCUAGGCGACGAUCCGUAGCGGGUCUGAGAGGAUGAUCCGCCACACUGGGACUGAGACACGGCCCAGACUCCUACGGGAGGCAGCAGUGGGGAAUUUUGGACAAUGGGCGCAAGCCUGAUCCAGCCAUGCCGCGUGAGUGAAGAAGGCCUUCGGGUUGUAAAGCUCUUUCGGCCGGGAAGAAAUCGUGUUCUCUAACAUAGGACAUGGAUGA